AGAAAGUUUCCUGAUUCGCUUACCAUGGCUCGUCAUGGACCUCUUCUCGUUCUGCUGCUAGCCUUGACAGCCCUCAAUAACAGCUUCGCAGCUCGCCAUCUUUUGGACACAGAAGCUGCGCCAGAGGCCGCACCAGCUCAGCCAUCCACACCAGCAGUUCCAACCACACUGCCCCCAGUGCCUUCCAUACCAGCAGUUCCAACCACACUGCCUCCAGUUCCUUCCAUUCCGCUACCAGCGAUGCCAAAGAUGGCAAUCCCACCAAUUCCAUCCAUUCCCAUUCCAAAGGUCACCCUGCCACCAGCAGCCGC
rnacentral:lncRNA from 1 species